CGCUGGCGGCACGCCUAACACAUGCAAGUCGAACGAAGUAGCAAUACUUAGUGGCAGACGGGUGAGUAACAUGUGGGUAUCUACCCUUUGGCCUGGAAUAACACGAGGAAACUUGUGCUAAUACCGGAUAAGUCUUUACGGAGAAAGCUUUAUGCACCAUUGGAUGAGCCUGCACUUGAUUAGUUUGUUGGUGGGGUAAUGGCCUACCAAGACUGUGAUCAAUAGCUGAUUUGAGAGGAUGAUCAGCCACAUUGGGACUGAGACACGGCCCAAACUCCUACGGGAGGCAGCAGUGGGGAAUCUUGCACAAUGGAGGAAACUCUGAUGCAGCGAUGCCGCGUGAGUGAAGAAGGCCCUUGGGUUGUAAAGCUCUUUCGUCGGGGAAGAAAAUGACUGUACCCGAAUAAGAAGGUCCGGCUAACUUCGUGCCAGCAGCCGCGGUAAUACGAAGGGACCUAGCGUAGUUCGGAAUUACUGGGCUUAAAGAGUUCGUAGGUGGUUGAAAAAGUUAGUGGUGAAAUCCCAGAGCUUAACUCUGGAACUGCCAUUAAAACUUUUCAGCUAGAGUAUGAUAGAGGAAAGCAGAAUUUCUAGUGUAGAGGUGAAAUUCGUAGAUAUUAGAAAGAAUACCAAUUGCGAAGGCAGCUUUCUGGAUCAUUACUGACACUGAGGAACGAAAGCAUGGGUAGCGAAGAGGAUUAGAUACCCUCGUAGUCCAUGCCGUAAACGAUGUGUGUUAGACGUUGGAAAUUUAUUUUCAGUGUCGCAGGGAAACCGAUAAACACACCGCCUGGGGAGUACGA
rnacentral:rRNA from 1 species